rnacentral:rRNA from 1 species
AUUGAACGCUGGCGGCAGGCCUAACACAUGCAAGUCGAGCGAGCGGCGGACGGGUGAGUAAUGUCUGGGAAACUGCCUGAUGGAGGGGGAUAACUACUGGAAACGGUAGCUAAUACCGCAUACCAUCCGAUGUGCCCAGAGGGGAUUAGCUAGUAGGUGGGGUAACGGCUCACCUAGGCGACGAUCCCUAGCUGGUCUGAGAGGAUGACCAGCCACACUGGAACUGAGACACGGUCCAGACUCCUACGGGAGGCAGCAGUAGGGAAUCUUCCGCAAUGGGCGAAAGCCUGACGGAGCAAUGCCGCGUGUGUGAUGAAGGUCUUCGGAUCGUAAAUCUCUGUUAUUAGGGAGGCGUUACCUAAUCAAAAAGCCCCGGCUAACUCCGUGCCAGCAGCCGCGGUAAUAC